AUAUAAUGUCAUCUUCUCUUUUAGAAAGAAGUCAGAAUUUAGACACAGGGAGAGCUCAAAACAGACCUCUUCAGGGUCAACUGACAGUCAAAAGGCAUGUGGAAGAAUUAGAAGAAAUGAGAUGCAAAAUCACAGCAUCAAACACAAAAGAGUUGUAAGAAAGUGGUGUGCCUGCACCAUACAUGAUGUAGGCUCCAAUUAGAGAGACUUUUGGUUUUGGUAUAUCUAGUAAUCAGGAGAAGAGAUUUCUGAAGUAAAGAUUUCUGUCAAGAGGAAAAUUUCUGAAGUAAAGUUUAAGUUAAAGGGAAAAACAGCCAUAUACCAUACAAUGCUCUAGAAAAGCACAUACAGGGUGAUGAGUCUGAUAAUGCAUAGGUGUUGAUAAUAACAAUUAAUAACAAUUAUUCUAUUGAUUAACUCCAAUACUUGAAAUCUGAAUACAAGGAACUUUAGUACUUGUGAAUCAAGGGGGAAAAAAAAAAAAAAAAAAAAAAAAAAUUAAAAAAAAUAAUCAACACCUAUUCAUUACAGCACAACAGAAGUGAAGGUGACAAAAGCUUGGGGACAUUUUAAUGCUCAGAGAGUAUCCAGCCAUUAGCAUGUUUCAUUACAGGAACUGCAGAGAGUUCUGAUUUCCUUGGUAAGUUUGCAGACAACACCAAAUUGGGUAGGAGUGUUGAGCUGGAAGGCUCUGCAGAGGGAUCUGGAUAGGCAAGAUCAACAGGCUAUGUCCAUUUGUAUGGCCUUCAACAGGGCUAAAGUUUGGGUGCUGCAUUUGGGUCAUAACAACUCCAUGCUCGGGGAAGAGUGGAAGAGUGGCUAGAAAGUUGUAUGGCAGGAAAGGACCUAUGGAGUCUACAGCUGUCUGAACACGAGCCAGCAGUGUGUCCAGGUGUCCAAGGCCAAUGCCAUCCUGAACUGCAUCAGAAAUAGUGUCACCAGCAGUACUAGGGAUGUGAUUGUCCUUCUGUACUCAUCACUGGUACUCAUCAUUCUGUGUUCAGUUUUGGGCCCCUCACUACAAGAAAGCAUUGCUGGAAUGUGCUCACAGAAAAGCAACAAAACUGGUAACGGGACUACAAAACAAGACAUAUUAGGAGUAGCUAAGGGAACUGGUGUUUAGUCUGGAAAAAAAGAGAAAAGGGGAAACCUCAUCUCUCCUUUGAAAAGACAUGAGGAAACAGCUUCAAGCUGAGCCAAGUAAGGUUUAGAUUGGGUAUCAGGAAGAAUUUCUUCACAGAGAGGUGGUCAAGCAUUGGAACGGGCUGUACAAGAAAGCAGUUGAGUCCCUGCUCCCUGAGGUAUCUAAGAGGCACUAUGGCACUUAGGGACAUGGUUUAACAGUAGACUUGGUAGUGUUAGCUUGAUGUUUGGACUUGAUAAUCUUAAGGGUCUUUUCCAGCCUAAAUGACUCUAUGAUUCAAUGACUUCAGAUAUUUGAAUGGAAUGGAGGUUGAUGAACAUACUCAUCUAGUGAAUCAAUGGAAUGAUAGCUCAGUUAACAUUAUAUGAAAACCAAGCAUAUUAAGCAAGGAGCUCUGAAUAUGCACAUAAAACAUUUCAAAAUAUUGAAAUGUACACUUUAUAAGAAGCAGAAAAAAGGAUAAUUCAGUUAUUUUGUGGACCCCAGAAUCUUAGUCACUAAACCCUGAUGAGUUUGAAAUUAGUAGCUAGGAAUCCAUGCAUAGAUUCCUGGGUUACACUUCUGAUUGUGAUAUAUCAUGAAUUACAAUUGAAAUCUGACUGUCAAAAAAUAAAAGGAGAUGUCAGAUCUGAAUGAAAAAGUCA
rnacentral:lncRNA from 1 species